rnacentral:rRNA from 1 species
UACGUAGGGUGCAAGCGUUGUCCGGAAUUAUUGGGCGUAAAGAGCUCGUAGGCGGUUUGUCGCGUCUGCUGUGAAAACUCGGGGCUUAACCCCGGGCCUGCAGUGGGUACGGGCAGACUAGAGUGCGGUAGGGGAGAAUGGAAUUCCUGGUGUAGCGGUGAAAUGCGCAGAUAUCAGGAGGAACACCGGUGGCGAAGGCGGGUCUCUGGGCCGUAACUGACGCUGAGGAGCGAAAGCGUGGGGAGCGAACAGG